AGUUUUGAGGUGGUAUGGUACCCAAGCAAUAGGUAACGCAAAUAAAGGGACUGAGGGAUGGUCCGGGAACUUUCACAUCAUACUCAGCCUAAUGACAGGAGAGGGAUCUCACCCAUUCCCCCCAGGACAAUGACUGACUCCUAGGGCCUCACCGACAGUGCCCUAGGAAUACAAGUCAGCCGGUGUUAAUGAAGCUGCAGUCAGGGUUCCCAACUAUCCAGGUCAGCUUUGCUCCACCUAGAAGAAACCCUGUCUCUGUCCACCAACAGAAACCUCAAAAAGCAGCUCUGGCCAUGUUGCAGAAGGAUGAACACUCUCUUGAACAAGCUGAAGGCAGCCAGUCAGUGCAGCCAUCUCCUCAGCUCGUGGACUGCAAUGUGCAAAGGAUGGAAAGGAUGCUGUGGACUCGAACUGCUGAGGAGCCUGCAGGCUCACCGCGAGAAUGGAGGGAAGCCUGGGAACAAAGUCCCCUUGCUGGAAGCAUGGCUAUCAGGUCACCUGACUCAGUGAUGGGAGGCAAGGACUUGGGGUCCAAUGCUCGAACUGCCUCUCCUGUCUUCACCGAGGAGGCAGGACAGAUCCAGUUUGGGCAGGAUGUAUAAGAUUUGGACACAUGGAAAAGAUGGAGGUGGCAAGAAAAAAAGGCAGGUUGAGAUGUUGAGAACAUCCACUCAACACCAUCUCUGGGGGAGUGUCAUCUUAAAGGCUGUCUCAAAGAAGGGCCAAAGGAUUCCAUUCCGAGUCAUCCAGCAGAGACGAGCGGGCUGGCAGCCUACAGGGAGCGGCCGGAGAAGCCCCUUCCCCAGCAGCU
rnacentral:lncRNA from 1 species